rnacentral:rRNA from 1 species
ACACAUGCAAGUCGAACGGUAACAGGAAACAGCUUGCUGUUUCGCUGACGAGUGGCGGACGGGUGAGUAAUGUCUGGGAAACUGCCUGAUGGAGGGGGAUAACUACUGGAAACGGUAGCUAAUACCGCAUAACGUCGCAAGACCAAAGAGGGGGACCCUCGGGCCUCUUGCCAUCGGAUGUGCCCAGAUGGGAUUAGCUUGUUGGUGGGGUAACGGCUCACCAAGGCGACGAUCCCUAGCUGGUCUGAGAGGAUGACCAGCCACACUGGAACUGAGACACGGUCCAGACUCCUACGGGAGGCAGCAGUGGGGAAUAUUGCACAAUGGGCGCAAGCCUGAUGCAGCCAUGCCGCGUGUAUGAAGAAGGCCUUCGGGUUGUAAAGUACUUUCAGCGGGGAGGAAGGGAGUAAAGUUAAUACCUUUGCUCAUUGACGUUACCCGCAGAAGAAGCACCGGCUAACUCCGUGCCAGCAGCCGCGGUAAUACGGAGGGUGCAAGCGUUAAUCGGAAUUACUGGGCGUAAAGCGCACGCAGGCGGUUUGUUAAGUCAGAUGUGAAAUCCCCGGGCUCAACCUGGGAACUGCAUCUGAUACUGGCAAGCUUGAGUCUCGUAGAGGGGGGUAGAAUUCCAGGUGUAGCGGUGAAAUGCGUAGAGAUCUGGAGGAAUACCGGUGGCGAAGGCGGCCCCCUGGACGAAGACUGACGCUCAGGUGCGAAAGCGUGGGGAGCAAACAGGAUUAGAUACCCUGGUAGUCCACGCCGUAAACGAUGUCGACUUGGAGGUUGUGCCCUUGAGGCGUGGCUUCCGGAGCUAACGCGUUAAGUCGACCGCCUGGGGAGUACGGCCGCAAGGUUAAAACUAAAUGAAUUGACGGGGGCCCGCACAAGCGGUGGAGCAUGUGGUUUAAUUCGAUGCAACGCGAAGAACCUUACCUGGUCUUGACAUCCACGGAAGUUUUCAGAGAUGAGAAUGUGCCUUCGGGAACCGUGAGACAGGUGCUGCAUGGCUGUCGUCAGCUCGUGUUGUGAAAUGUUGGGUUAAGUCCCGCAACGAGCGCAACCCUUAUCCUUUGUUGCCAGCGGUCCGGCCGGGAACUCAAAGGAGACUGCCAGUGAUAAACUGGAGGAAGGUGGGGAUGACGUCAAGUCAUCAUGGCCCUUACGACCAGGGCUACACACGUGCUACAAUGGCGCAUACAAAGAGAAGCGACCUCGCGAGAGCAAGCGGACCUCAUAAAGUGCGUCGUAGUCCGGAUUGGAGUCUGCAACUCGACUCCAUGAAGUCGGAAUCGCUAGUAAUCGUGGAUCAGAAUGCCACGGUGAAUACGUUCCCGGGCCUUGUACACACCGCCCGUCACACCAUGGGAGUGGGUUGCAAAAGAAGUAGGUAGCUUAACCUUCGGGAGGGCGCUUACCACUUUGUGAUUCAUGAC